rnacentral:rRNA from 1 species
UACGUAGGGUGCAAGCGUUGUCCGGAAUUAUUGGGCGUAAAGGGCUCGUAGGCGGUCCAUCACGUCGGGAGUGAAAAGCUGGGGCUUAACCCCAGUCCUGCUUCCGAUACGGGUGGACUAGAGGUAGGCAGGGGAGAACGGAAUUCCUGGUGUAGCGGUGAAAUGCGCAGAUAUCAGGAGGAACACCUGUGGCGAAAGCGGCUCACUGGACCAUAACUGACGCUGAUGCACGAAAGCUAGGGGAGCAAACAGG